GAGACUUUUGCUGUCAGAUUCCACAGAAGCCACACCCAGCUGCUUCUCUUUUAUGUACUUCAAAGCUUUGAGCACUACUAGGGUUUCUAGUUGAAAGACCGAUGCUGCCCAAACUAGUUUGGUGAAGCCAUCCACAAGGUUGCUGAAGGAGUCCCGGAUGAUGCAGGCGACAGCUCCUUCCGUCGAACCCUUGCAGAUCGACCUCGACAUUGAGCUUCAAAGAUCCUGCUACCAGAGCUAUCCAGGUUGGAGAUGUCUCAACAUCCUCUUCCUUUCCUGGUUGAAGAUGCAUAAAACCCCAUUUUUUGUAGCUAUUUUGCUGAAAUUGGGCCAGAUCUACCACUUUGCAAGCAUCCGGUUUAGUACCUCGAAAGAUGUAGUUGUUGCGCUCCUUCCAUACCUGCCAUAAGAUGUUCGCGAUCGUUUCCAAGGACGGGAGGUUGAUUUCCGAGUGACUCCAUACCUGUGCAGUCCAGGGACAGAGAAGAUGAAUAUGUUCGGCCGUUUCCAUCUUAUCUCGCAAAGGUCACAUACCAAAUUAGAUUCAGCACUACUCACCAAUAGGGGAGAACUAUGGUUUGACCCGACAGUUGGGAGGGCAUAUGCUUAUGCUUCCGGGAGCAUGAGCCUCCAAUCUAGAGAGUAAAACACCAUAUACAGUUUCUCAUUUACCAUAUUAGCCCCUUCUCUGUUGUUUGACCAGGUAAAAGCACACCAUUUACAAUCUAUUUCCAUUAACAAACAAGCAUGUAUAUAGCUUUGGAAUGCCUACAUUCUAUAAUGUUUUGCCAUCCUUGUGCCCACCUUAUCCCAAUAAUAAAGCACUUUAUUGAAAUCCCCCAAACAAACCCAUGGUAGGCUAUUAGUUAGAUUAAUCUAUCUCAUUUUAUCCUGUAACUAUAAUCUUCCCCCAGAUAGAUUUGGAGCAUGCACACAAAUAACCCACAUUUUGAUUCGACUAUCAUGAUCUUCACAUAUCAAAUUUAUCAUUUCUUGUGAGCUAGAUUCCACCUCUACAUCAACUUCAUCAUUCCAUAUCACCGCUAGCCCCCCUACAAUUCCUAUCGGAUUCACCACAAAGCUGUAUUUAAAAUUCAACUGCCUUCUAAUAUGAGAAAUCACAUUUUCUUUGUUUUUUGUUUCCAUUAACAGAACCAAAUCGGGCCUUUCAUGAGCCACAAUGGCUCUCAAAUUUUGGACUGUCAAUGGUGUGCCUAACCCCUAACAGUUCCAAUAUAUAACCCUCAUUUGUAAACCGGUGGCUUAUUCGGGCUUUCCACCAAAGCUCAUCACAUAGUUCCCUCUGAAAGACUAAUAGAAGUAUCCUGCAGUUUUGCUUCAUCAAAGUCCGCCAACUCUAGAGGAAUAGAGUUAUAUGGGGUGUACCUAUUUAAUUUCUUUGCUUGUGAACUUUUUAAAAUCCCGCUUUCCUUCUUUGAUCCUUCUUUUUAUUUUUUUGUCUAGGACAAUGAUUUAUCAGCCGGACAGAAGCUGUUGUUCUGGCUCUUCAAUGUUCAUUAUACCUUUUCCCUUUUCCUUGUGCUGUUUCACUUGGUGAUCAAGUAUAAUAAUAUC